rnacentral:rRNA from 1 species
GGAAGAGUUCUCUUUUCUUGUUAACAGUUCCGCAGGCCCUGGAAUCGGAUUAUCCGGCGAUAGGGUCUGGUGGCUGGGAAAGCAGCUUAAUCUUUGAGCUGUCCGGUGCUCUCCAGACGGCCCUUGAAAAUCCGGUGGCGUGACUUAUUUACACCCCAGGUCGUACUCAUAACCGCAUCAGGUCUCCAAGGUGAGUAGCCUCUAGUCGAUAGAGUAAUGUGGAUAAGGG